CACAACUUCUGAAGGCAAGUCGUUCCACUUAUUAAUUGUUCUAACUGUCAGGAAAUUUCUCCUUAGUUCUAAGUUGCUUCUUUCUUUGAUCAGUUUCCACCCAUUGCUUCUUGUUCUACCCUCAGGUGCUUUGGUGAACAGCCUGACUCCCUCUUCUUUGUGGCAGCCCCUGAGAUAUUGGAACACAGCUAUCAUGUCUCCCCUAGUCCUUCUUUUUGUUAAACUAGACAUACCCAGUUCCUGCAACCGUUCUUCAUAUGUUUUAUCCUCCAGUCCCCUAAUCAUCUUUGUUGCUCUUCUCUGCACUCUUUCUAGAGUCUCAACAUCUUUUUUACAUCGUGGCGACCAAAACUGGAUGCAAUAUUCCAAGUGUGGCCUUACCAAGGCAUUAUAAAGUGGCACUAACACUUCACGUGAUCUUGAUUCUAUCCCUCUGUUUAUGCAGCCCAGAACUGUGUUGGCUUUUUUAACAGCUGCUGCACACUGCUGGCUCAUAUCUAAAUGGUUAUCCACUAGGACUCCAAGAUCCCUCUCACAGGUACUACUAUUGAGUAGUAAACUCUCAGCUAGACUUUUGCUGACAAAAUGUACAUUUUCCAUCUUUGUAACAACCCUUCACAGAUGCCCGCAUAUGUAUCUAAUUUUAGGUACCAGAAACUGUGCACAAGUUAUCAUUCAUUUUAUUCUGAUUUUUGUUCUUUUUUUCUCUUUUCUUUGAAAUGGUGACUAUUGAGGAAUUGACCAAAGGAAACAAAAUGGUUUCACAAGAGAGUACGGGAGAUAACUUUCAGAGGUCUUUCAUUCGUCUGGUGGAAUCAAGUCCCAGGAUGAAAGACUCAUUAGUGAAGUUAUGGAUUAUAUCAAACGUUCUAGUUCAAUGUAUGAAGGGUGGGACCGCAACAACUCUGUGAAGUGAGUUUGGCUGAGAAGGAGCGACUGGCCCAAAGUCACCCAGCUGGAUUUCAUAUCUAAUGCAGGUCUAUAACUCAAAAGUCUCCCACAUUACUCCCACUGCUACCCCCACUUUUUAAAUGGUAGAUUUGACUAUAUUAUCUAGCCGUGUCCUUAGUUUCUGAGGCUAUGGGAGGAAAGAGAGAUCUAAUAAACAACCCAGCAACUAUCAGAACUAAGCUGGAGUUAGCAGCCACAGGAGAUCUGAGAAUGUCAUUUAAAGCGGGGGUUGCCAACCUUUCGAACCUCAGGGACCACUAAAUUCAUAAUUUAAAAUCCCAAGGAUAAGAAUUUUUUAAAAAGAUAAAUAGUAUUUAGUGCAAUACAAAAAUGCAAAUAAUUUUUCUGCGGACCACCAAAAUUUUCUCAUGCUUGGUGACCGCUGGUUUAAAGGGUCAUUGCUGAGUGGCACAUAGAAAUACAAUGGGAAUGGCCACCAUUUAUUUCUCAGUAGAAAGUGGUUGUUUUUAAUUACACUUCCUGUCUCAUAAGCCCCUCUGGAUGCAUGGGGUCAGUCUAAAACGUCAGAAUAUUUUGCUGCCUGUCAUGGUGUCUUCCCCAACCCGAGUAGCAACAAUGUUUAGCAUUUGGUUGUGAUGAGUUGAGGAUUCCAGAAAUAAAGAGCAUACAACUGGAGGGUAGGUACAUGAAUUAGGAAAGAAUGAUAUAAAAGAGAUGUUCCAAUUAUGGAUGCACAGUGAUCUAUAUGGGCAUAACUCUGCAGAGGACAGCAUAUCUCACCACACAAUGACGUUAGAGUAUUUUCUAACUUUAUGCUAUGGCAAUGGACUUGUGACUCCGGCUCCCGAGCCUGUCCUCAUGGAGGAGGAUGACUCUGAGAGCGAGGGAGAGGAGCCAACAAGGCUUCCCUCUCCAGGUCCCUCCUUUGUGGCAACGCCUCAGGUGCCAGCUGAAGGCCAGAAAGAAGGCGUGUCGGAGCCCCCACAGACAGAGUGUGAGGAGGAUCAAUCCUGGAUUGAUCCCAGGCAGCGUCAGAAGGAGAAGCGUGCACAGCAAAGGAAGAGGUGUGGCAGGCCCAGAGAGUGCUGAGUCACUGAGCCACACCCCACAGGGGAUAAAAGCGGGUAGAGUUGCUCUGUAGCCCCUAUGAUGGACAAAAACUGCAAAGCAUGAACUUCGGAUCGGUUGUUUUUGAGUUAAGGCCUGGACUGUGUGAAGGAAUUAUUCUGUGUACUCUUGGCUGUCCCAGCAAUGGCCUACAGACAAGUGGACUCCCAUCUCUGCCAGUGAUAAGGAACUUGGCAGGGAUUUGAACUGUAGCUGCCAAGUUUUUAUCCACAAAAGAAAUUCAGGUCGGUUGUAGAAUAAAUGACUGUUAGACGCUCGCUCCUGCGUUCUUCUAUGUGAGGUGGGGAGGGGGACAGAACAGGAUUGGCAUUUCAAAAGCAGUGUGAUCAUUUUGGGAUUGCAACUCCCAGAAUAUUCAACCAGCAUGCUAGGAACUGCAAACUCAAAGCUAGAGCAGAUCUUAGUGUAUAUUACAGGUAAAGAGGCAUUUUGCAGCACCGAAAGUGCAAAGGAAGCACCUCUGUUCAAGUUGUUAAAGCAUCUGUAUCUUUUGUAAGACUUGUGCAACUGUUUCAGAAUCUAUUCCUGAUCAUCUCCCAUGCCACACUUGAAAUGGCUAUGCAUGCAUACCUAGGCAGCCAUAUUUCUCCUUCUCCUGCCACAUUCAAACAGAACUACUUUCUUUGCUGUCUCAGAGAAAUCCUUUCCUGUAGAGGAGAGGGUAGAGCAGAAGCCAGGUCAAAAGCCAAAGGAGUCUGACUUGAUGAUAUCAGGGCUUAGCACUGAGCUGUUGAUAAAUCAUCAUAGAAGCCUCUCAGCCUGAAUUUUGAUUCCGACAAAAAUAUAUCCCCCAGUCCCACAAAAAUGCUAAUCCCUUCAUGUUGAGCACCAAAGGACUGAAAGACAAAAUAAUGCCAGAUGUUUUGGAAAAGCAUUUUGGGAAUAGUAAUCAAUUUAGGACUAAUAAUCUGUAAUACUUGAAAGCCGGCUGUUCCAGAGUAGCCCAAUAUCCAUAAUAGAAUAGAAUAGAAUUUUUAUUGGCCAAGUGUG